rnacentral:rRNA from 1 species
AGAGUUUGAUCAUGGCUCAGGACGAACGCUGGCGGCGCGCCUAAUACAUGCAAGUCGAGCGAGAACCAGGGCUUGCCCUGGGGAGAGCGGCGAACGGGUGCGUAUCACGUGAGCAACCUGCCCCGAAGACCGGGAUAACUCGAGGAAACUCGGGCUAAUACCGGAUGCCCUCACUGGACCGCAUGGUCCGGCGAGGAAAUGGAUUCCGCUUCGGGAUGGGCUCGCGGCCUAUCAGCUUGUUGGUGGGGUAACGGCCUACCAAGGCAACGACGGGUAGCUGGUCUGAGAGGACGAUCAGCCACACUGGGACUGAGACACGGCCCAGACUCCUACGGGAGGCAGCAGUAGGGAAUCUUGCGCAAUGGGCGAAAGCCUGACGCAGCGACGCCGCGUGCGGGAUGAAGGCCUUCGGGUCGUAAACCGCUUUCAGCAGGGACGAAAUUGACGGUACCUGCAGAAGAAGGCCCGGCCAACUACGUGCCAGCAGCCGCGGUGAUACGUAGGGGUCUAGCGUUGUCCGGAAUCAUUGGGCGUAAAGAGCUCGUAGGCGGUUCGGCAAGUCGGAUGUGAAAUCUCCACGCUCAACGUGGAGGGGCCAUUCGAAACUGCCGUGACUCGAGUCCGGUAGGGGAGUUCGGAAUUCCCGGUGUAGCGGUGAAAUGCGCAGAUAUCGGGAGGAACACCAGUGGCGAAGGCGGAACUCUGGGCCGGAACUGACGCUGAGGAGCGAAAGCGUGGGGAGCGAACAGGAUUAGAUACCCUAGUAGUCC